UACGUAGGGUGCGAGCGUUGUCCGGAAUUAUUGGGCGUAAAGAGCUCGUAGGCGGUUUGUUGCGUCGGCUGUGAAAUCCCGAGGCUCAACCUCGGGUCUGCAGUCGAUACGAGCAAACUAGAGUGUUGCAGGGGAGACUGGAAUUCCUGGUGUAGCGGUGAAAUGCGCAGAUAUCAGGAGGAACACCGGUGGCGAAGGCGGGUCUCUGGGCCGUAACUGACGCUGAGGAGCGAAAGCGUGGGGAGCGAACAGG
rnacentral:rRNA from 1 species